GGCUGACAUACUGACCCAAAUAGUGGUGAUAGAUGGAGUGGUGCUGUUAAUAGUUGCCUGGUGCCUAUCCUAGCGUGUGAUGGCUGGCAAAUUACAACAGUGGAAGGACUUGGGAAUCAAAAGGAUGGUCUACAUGUUAUCCAAGACACCCUAGCGAAGAAAUCUGGCUCACAGUGCGGCUACUGUUCGCCUGGCUUUGUUAUGAAGAUGUAUGGGUUAACCAAAAGUCAACCAACCUGGACAGAAGAAGAAUUGAAUCACAUAUAGACGGGGUAACCUAUG